rnacentral:hammerhead_ribozyme from 1 species
GUACUGCUGACGAGUACCAAACAGGACGAAACAGCUGUCGAGUAC